GAUUAUGGCUCAGGAUGAACGCUAGCGGCAGGCUUAACACAUGCAAGUCGAGGGGCAGCGGGAUGUAGCAAUACAUUGCCGGCGACCGGCGGAUGGGUGCGUAACGCGUAUGCAACCUACCUUAUACAGGGGAAUAACCUUUCGAAAGGGAGACUAACACCCAUGGUAUUGAUUUAAGGCAUCUUAGAUUAAUUAAAUAUUUAUAGGUAUAAGAUGGGCAUGCGUAUGAUUAGCUAGUUGGUAAGGUAACGGCUUACCAAGGCGACGAUCAUUAGGGGUUCUGAGAGGAAGGUCCCCCACACUGGUACUGAGACACGGACCAGACUCCUACGGGAGGCAGCAGUGAGGAAUAUUGGUCAAUGGGCGCAAGCCUGAACCAGCCAUGCCGCGUGCCAGGAAGACGGCCUUAUGGGUUGUAAACUGCUUUUACAUAAGACUAACCGUAUAUUUGCGAAUAUACCUGAAUGUAUUAUGAGAAUAAGGAUCGGCUAACUCCGUGCCAGCCGCUGC
rnacentral:rRNA from 1 species